GCCAGCAUGGUAUAGUGGGUUGAACAUUGGACUAUGACUCUGGAAACCAGGGUUCAAAUCCCGGUUUGGGCA